UACGUAGGGGGCAAGCGUUGUCCGGAUUUAUUGGGCGUAAAGAGCUCGUAGGCGGUUUGUCGCGUCUGCCGUGAAAGUCCGGGGCUCAACUCCGGAUCUGCGGUGGGUACGGGCAGACUAGAGUGAUGUAGGGGAGACUGGAAUCCUGGUGUAGCGGUGAAAUGCGCAGAUAUCAGGAGGAACACCGAUGGCGAAGGCAGGUCUCUGGGCCACUACUGACGCUGAGAAGCGAAAGCAUGGGGAGCGAACAGG
rnacentral:rRNA from 1 species